rnacentral:misc_RNA from 1 species
AAGACUAUAGACCUGCGGAGUACCUGCGGAGGGAUCAUUACCAAUUUUAUUAUAUUAGUUUGUAGGCCGCCGUCAAAACGUGGUCCUGCACAACUACCAUGUAAACGUUGAACUGGAUCGUUGGUGUGGAUUGCUUGGGAAUGGACGAAGCGACAAGCCUCUUCCGGACAGGCAAACCCCACGCCGAUAACCUUUUUUCAUACUAAUUUACAACUAGUACAUACUACAAACAAACAAACA